rnacentral:rRNA from 1 species
CAGUAGCCGCGGUAAUACAGAGGGUGCGAGCGUUAAUCGGAUUUACUAAGCGUAAAGCGUGCGUAGGCGGCUUUUUAAGUCGGAUGUGAAAUCCCUGAGCUUAACUUAGGAAUUGCAUUCGAUACUGGGAAGCUAGAGUAUGGGAGAGGAUGGUAGAAUUCCAGGUGUAGCGGUGAAAUGCGUAGAGAUCUGGAGGAAUACCGAUGGCGAAGGCAGCCAUCUGGCCUAAUACUGACGCUGAGGUACGAAAGCAUGGGGAGCAAACAGGAUUAGAUACCCCCGUAGUCCCUGUCUCUUAUAC